GGGCUAUAUCUCAUCAGUUGAGCUUUUGCUGUGCAUGCAGAAGGUCCCAGGUUCAAUCCCUGGCAUCUCCA